GCCUCCAUAGCUCAGGGGUUAGAGCACUAGUCUUGUAAACUAGGGGUCGAGAGUUCAAAUCUCUCUGGGGGCA
rnacentral:tRNA from 1 species